rnacentral:rRNA from 1 species
CGAACGGGUGAGUAACACGUGGGCAAUCUGCCCUUCACUCUGGGACAAGCCCUGGAAACGGGGUCUAAUACCGGAUAUCACUCUCGCAGGCAUCUGUGAGGGUCGAAAGCUCCGGCGGUGAAGGAUGAGCCCGCGGCCUAUCAGCUUGUUGGUGAGGUAACGGCUCACCAAGGCGACGACGGGUAGCCGGCCUGAGAGGGCGACCGGCCACACUGGGACUGAGACACGGCCCAGACUCCUACGGGAGGCAGCAGUGGGGAAUAUUGCACAAUGGGCGAAAGCCUGAUGCAGCGACGCCGCGUGAGGGAUGACGGCCUUCGGGUUGUAAACCUCUUUCAGCAGGGAAGAAGCGAAAGUGACGGUACCUGCAGAAGAAGCGCCGGCUAACUACGUGCCAGCAGCCGCGGUAAUACGUAGGGCGCAAGCGUUGUCCGGAAUUAUUGGGCGUAAAGAGCUCGUAGGCGGUCUGUCGCGUCGGAUGUGAAAGCCCGGGGCUUAACCCCGGGUCUGCAUUCGAUACGGGCAGACUAGAGUGUGGUAGGGGAGAUCGGAAUUCCUGGUGUAGCGGUGAAAUGCGCAGAUAUCAGGAGGAACACCGGUGGCGAAGGCGGAUCUCUGGGCCAUUACUGACGCUGAGGAGCGAAAGCGUGGGGAGCGAACAGGAUUAGAUACCCUGGUAGUCCA